GAUGAACGCUGGCGGCGUGCCUAAUACAUGCAAGUCGAGCGAACGGACGAGAAGCUUGCUUCUCUGAUGUUGGCGGCGGACGGGUGAGUAACACGUGGAUAACCUACCUAUAAGACUGGGAUAACUUCGGGAAACCGUAGCUAAUACCGGAUAAUAUUUUGAACCGCAUGGUUCAAAAGUGAAAGACGGUCUUGCUGUCACUUAUAGAUGGAUCCGCGCUGCAUUAGCUAGUUGGUAAGGUAACGGCUUACCAAGGCAACGAUGCAUAGCCGACCUGAGGGGGUGAUCGGCCACACUGGAACUGAGACACGGUCCAGACUCCUACGGGAGGCAGCAGUAGGGAAUCUUCCGCAAAGGGCGAAAGCCUGACGGAGCAACGCCGCGUGAGUGAUGAAGGUCUUCGGAUCGUAAAACUCUGUUAUUAGGGAAGAACAUAUGUGUAAGUAACUGUGCACAUCUUGACGGUACCUAAUCAGAAAGCCACGGCUAACUACGUG
rnacentral:rRNA from 1 species